rnacentral:rRNA from 1 species
UGAGGAAUUUUCCACAAUGGGCGAAAGCCUGAUGGAGCAAUACCGCGUGAAGGAUGACGGUCUUCGGAUUGUAAACUUCUUUUUAAUGGGAAGAUUAUGACGGUACCAUUUGAAUAAGCAUCGGCUAACUACGUGCCAGCAGCCGCGGUAAUACGUAGGAUGCAAGCGUUAUCCGGAAUUAUUGGGCGUAAAGAGUGUGUAGGCGGCACGUUAAGUUAAAUGUUAAAUCUAUGGGCUCAACUCAUAGGCUGCAUUUAAUACUGGCGAGCUCGAGGUAUGGAGAGGUAAGCGGAAUUAGCGGUGUAGCAGUGAAAUGCGUAGAUAUCGCUAGGAACACCAAUGGCGAAGGCAGCUUACUGGCCAUAUACUGACGCUGAGACACGAAAGCGUGGGGAGCGAA